rnacentral:rRNA from 1 species
AACGAACGCUGGCGGCAGGCUUAACACAUGCAAGUCGAACGAAGUCUUCGGACUUAGUGGCAGACGGGUGAGUAACGCGUGGGAACCUACCCUUUGGUACGGAAUAGCUCCGGGAAACUGGAAUUAAUACCGUAUGCUCCCUACGGGGGAAAGAUUUAUCGCCAAAGGAUGGGCCCGCGUUGGAUUAGCUAGUUGGUGGGGUAAUGGCCUACCAAGGCGACGAUCCAUAGCUGGUCUGAGAGGAUGAUCAGCCACACUGGGACUGAGACACGGCCCAGACUCCUACGGGAGGCAGCAGUGGGGAAUAUUGGACAAUGGGGGCAACCCUGAUCCAGCCAUGCCGCGUGAGUGAUGAAGGCCCUAGGGUUGUAAAGCUCUUUCAGCGAGGAGGAUAAUGACGUUACUCGCAGAAGAAGCCCCGGCUAACUUCGUGCCAGCCGCCGCCGUAACAC